GACGAACGCUGGCGGCGUGCUUAACACAUGCAAGUCGAACGGUGAAGGGGUCUGCUUUUGUGGGCCCUGGAUGAGUGGCGAACGGGUGAGUAACACGUGAGUAACCUGCCCCCUUCUUCUGGAUAACCGCAUGAAAGUGUGGCUAAUACGGGAUAUUCUGGGUCUGUCGCAUGAUGGGUCUGGGAAAGAUUGCGCCUUUGGGUGUUUUUGGUGGGGGAUGGGCUCGCGGCCUAUCAGCUUGUUGGUGGGGUGAUGGGCUACCAAGGCGGGGACGGGUAGCCGGCCUGAGAGGGUGGACGGUCACACGGGGACUGAGACACGGCCCAGACUCCUACGGGAGGCAGCAGUGGGGAAUAUUGCACAAUGGGCGCAAGCCUGAUGCAGCGACGCCGCGUGAGGGAUGGAGGCCUUCGGGUUGUAAACCUCUUUCGCCAGUGAAGCAGGCCUGCUCCUUGUGGGUGGGUUGACGGUAGCUGGAGAAGAAGCGCCGGCUAACUACGU
rnacentral:rRNA from 1 species